CCACCACAACCAAACCAGUUUUCCAUCUCUCCCGAUAUCUGAAUUCAAUCAUCGAUGCCAGAGAUCCACUUGGUGGCGGUUUAUGAGACCAUGAUAGUCACUUCUAUAUAUGAAGUUGCUGUGGAUCACUGGGUUCACUUUAAUCGGGUGGAUACAUGUAUCAUCAAAGAUUAGAAAUUGGAUGACCCUUUUCAAUGAUGUGUAAUCAAACAAUUCAGUAUCUGUCAUAUCAAAGAUAUAGAUAUCAUAAUCGUGUUCCUUAAUUAAGUGUCGAUCUGUUACGGAGCACUCGUGACGGUUUGAGAGACCAUCUCGGUUUGGUGCCGGUUACCGCUAGGGACUCGUGCAGAUUGUACCAAGAGCAGCCUGCCUACCUCAAUCUGGAGUAAUACAUUUUUGAUAGACGAUUCUUAAUGCUUCAGGAUGCGACUAAGAAAAAGAAGACCUUCCAUUUGGUGAUCCAUUCAAAAGGCAAGAAUCACUGAUUUUGAAGAUGCCAGAUGACAAUGAAUUAUUUGUUUAAUUAUUUUUCUUUGUUCAAUUAACCUGUAAACUAACAUGUAAUUUUUACAUAGGGUAUAAUGAUUUAGGUCCAACAAAAAAGCUUCGUUGAUGGGGAGCAAAAAGAUGAUAUUUACAAUGAGGUUCUUUGAAGAAGAUUUAAAAGAACAUACAUGAGUGUUAUGCCUUCUCGGGAUUUGGUUCAAAACCAACCAAAUGGACGGUGAAUAGUUCAAGUUAUGAUUAUAUGGUUUCAAGUUUUUAGCUUUUGGAAUUAGAUGAAUUUAAAUUUCGGUAAUUUUAUUGUUUUUAGAUUUCUUUUUCCUGGAUUUAAAUAUUUGAUGCAAUAAAACUUAAAUUUUCUU